GAGCGCAACCCUUGAUCUUAGUUGCCAGCAUUCAGUUGGGCACUCUAAGGUGACUGCCGGUGACAAACCGGAGGAAGGUGGGGAUGACGUCAAAUCAUCAUGCCCCUUAUGACCUGGGCUACACACGUGCUACAAUGGACAGAACAAAGGGCUGCGAGACCGCAAGGUUUAGCCAAUCCCACAAAUCUGUUCUCAGUUCGGAUCGCAGUCUGCAACUCGACUGCGUGAAGCUGGAAUCGCUAGUAAUCGCGGAUCAGCAUGCCGCGGUGAAUACGUUCCCGGGCCUUGUACACACCGCCCGUCACACCACGAGAGUUUGCAACUCCCGAAGUCGGUGAGGUAACCUUUAUGGAGCCAGC
rnacentral:rRNA from 1 species